rnacentral:misc_RNA from 1 species
CAACCGUCGAAGGCCGAGAUGAUCGAACGGGUCACCGCGAAAUACGGUCAGCCGACCGCGAUCGGCGACGGCCGCAUGUAUUACUUCUACAAGGCCGGCAAGGUGAUGUCGGUGAAGCAGAAAUACACCCCUGCUUCCGCGCUUGAAGCACUCAACGCACCGCUCAAUCCCAAAGCUGCCGUGGCGCUCAACGAUGCCAAUGGACGCGGAAGCUGCGUCGCGGAGUUGAAACGCGCGCAAGCGCUGGAAAAGACGCUCGACAA